AAGCGCAUCUGAAAAAUAUUUACAUGAAGAUAAAAAUGAUGAAUCAUAAAAUUCUUCAAUAAACUAUACAGUACACAUCAUCUCUAAGAAGUAUGCAGUCAGACCUUCAAACUUAGAGAUGCAUUUUUCUUGACAGUAUAGUGAUGGACUUGGGUCCCAGAUGUGACUGCAGCUGUCACAUCCUGCAACAUGCUGACUGGUAACUGACAGUAGUGAAGACAAAAGCUAAAUCUGUGACAGCAGAUGUGUUGAAAUGAAUAAUUUUCACAUAGAAUGGAAUCUGAUCAUAAAGGAAAACCGAAGCAGCUUCCCUCAUCCACAGAGAAAGAGAAAUGCCGAAAUGCAUUCAAUCAUUUUCAGCAGGACUUGAAAAGACUCAGAAGCAGAAGGAGAAUGCAGUGAACCAUCCGCCACAAUAUUAUCACCACAAUUCAGCAUUAUCAUUCAGAGCACAUUGAGGCUAGGAUGUACUUAUCAUUCAGCAUUUGAUGUUUCCAUGAUCACCCCCCGCCCCGCCCGCCACAGCUGACUGCAGAAUCUUCUGAAAUGACCUAUGCCUUGCCAUUUUGGUUCAAAAUGUAUAUAUUAUAUGGUGCAGAUUUCCAUAAAAGCACAAUAACGUUAAUUCUAAGUGAAAGCUUGUUUCCCUUGCUGGUUUCAUGAGUUUUUUUUUACUUUUAAUAAAAUAUUUACACAUUCUCAUUGCUCGAUUGGGGAAACUACCCAAAAAUAGACCUCCAGAAUGAUCACCACUAAAUAAACAGAGCACAGCUCAAAUUCUAAGACUUGAAGUAACUAGUUUUUCACAAAGCCACUAAUAUUCAAACCUACAAUGGAGACAAUCCACGCUGAAUACUAUGGAUAUAAAUAGCUCCAUUCUCCAAAGUUAAGCUAAUCACAUUACCUAUAUUAAAGGCAUAUUAAUUUAGUUUGAAAAUUCCACCCAGUCUUCAGCUGAGACAAGAAGAAAUCAUAACCAGUUGUAACCAAAAUGAAUACUUAAGAAGGCUAAUUUUUAAAAAAAGGUCUUUCCAACUGCCAUGUUUGUUACUGCGACUAAUAAAGACAAUUUCAGUUUUGAAAAUGAGGUGUACAGAAUUCGAAAUGCUAACUCAGUUUGUCUCUCCAAAAGUGUGGCUUGACCUGCUGAGUUUCUCCAGCACUUUUGUAAGCCAUUGUUCUGAUGGCAGCAAUGAGAUCAUUGUUGCUCUCAGGUGGUGCUCUAUACUUAGUCUACCAGAUUAAACAGCUAAGAACUCCCUAGAAAGCUGAUAGACAUAUACUGUCAAGACAUGUAUACAAAUAGUUUUUCCAAAUGUCAAGUGAGCAGAAACAGUGCCUUUGUCUGCUAGUUUAGGAUUUUGGGCCAGUCAAAAUAGCAAUUUUCUCCAGCACAGUCACAUUUGAGUUCUUUCCCUUAUCCUCCAUGUUCCUACAAAUGGUUAUAGUUUAGAAUAAGAGGGAAGGUGAA